CCUACGGGGGGCAGCAGUGGGGAAUAUUGGACAAUGGGCGAAAGCCUGAUCCAGCCAUGCCGCGUGUGUGAAGAAGGCCUUCGGGUUGUAAAGCACUUUCAGUGGGGAAGAAAGCCUUGGGGCUAAUACCCUCGAGGAAGGACAUCACCCACAGAAGAAGCACCGGCUAACUCCGUGCCAACAGCCGCGGUAAUACGGAGGGUGCGAGCGUUAAUCGGAAUUACUGGGCGUAAAGCGCGCGUAGGCGGUCUGAUAAGCCGGUUGUGAAAGCCCCGGGCUCAACCUGGGAACGGCAUCCGGAACUGUCAGGCUAGAGUGCAGGAGAGGAAGGUAGAAUUCCCGGUGUAGCAGUGAAAUGCGUAGAGAUCGGGAGGAAUACCAGUGGCGAAGGCGGCCUUCUGGACUGACACUGACGCUGAGGUGCGAAAGCGUGGGUAGCAAACAGGAUUAGAUACCCCAGUAGUC
rnacentral:rRNA from 1 species